rnacentral:rRNA from 1 species
GACGAACGCUGGCGGCGUGCUUAACACAUGCAAGUCGAACGGAAAGGCCCUGCUUGCAGGGUACUCGAGUGGCGAACGGGGGAGUAAAACGUGGGUGAUCUGCCCUGCACUUCGGGAUAAGCCUGGGAAACUGGGUCUAAUACCGGAUAGGAGCCAUUUUUAGUGUGAUGGUUGGAAAGUUUUUUCGGUGUAGGAUGAGCUCGCGGCCUAUCAGCUUGUUGGUGGGGUAAUGGCCUACCAAGGCGGCGACGGGUAGCCGGCCUGAGAGGGUGGACGGCCACAUUGGGGCUGGGAAACGGCCCAGACUCCUACGGGGGGCAGCAGGGGGGAAUAUUGCACAAUGGGCGCAAGCCUGAUGCAGCGACGCCGCGGGGGGGAUGACGGCCUUCGGGUUGGAAACUCCUUUCGCUAGGGACGAAGCUUUUUGUGACGGUACCUAGAUAAGAAGCACCGGCUAACUACGUG